rnacentral:rRNA from 1 species
GAUGAACGCUGGCGGCGUGCCUAAUACAUGCAAGUAGAACGCUGAAGCUUGGUGCUUGCACCGAGCGGAAGAGUUGCGAACGGGUGAGUAACGCGUAGGUAACCUGCCUCUUAGCGGGGGAUAACUAUUGGAAACGAUAGCUAAUACCGCAUAAAAGUCGGCAUUGCAUGAUGUUGACUUGAAAGGUGCAACUGCAUCACUAAGAGAUGGACCUGCGUUGUAUUAGCUAGUUGGUGAGGUAACGGCUCACCAAGGCGACGAUACAUAGCCGACCUGAGAGGGUGAUCGGCCACACUGGGACUGAGACACGGCCCAGACUCCUACGGGAGGCAGCAGUAGGGAAUCUUCGGCAAUGGACGGAAGUCUGACCGAGCAACGCCGCGUGAGUGAAGAAGGUUUUCGGAUCGUAAAGCUCUGUUGUAAGAGAAGAACGAGUGUGAGAGUGGAAAGUUCACACUGUGACGGUAACUUACCAGAAAGGGACGGCUAACUACGUGCCAGCAGCCGCGGUAAUACGUAGGUCCCGAGCGUUAUCCGGAUUUAUUGGGCGUAAAGCGAGCGCAGGCGGUUUAGAUAAGUCUGAAGUUAAAGGCUGUGGCUUAACCAUAGUACGCUUUGGAAACUGUUUAACUUGAGUGCAGAAGGGGAGAGUGGAAUUCCAUGUGUAGCGGUGAAUGGCGUAGAUAUAUGGAGGAACACCGGUGGCGAAAGCGGCUCUCUGUGUCUGUAACUGACGCUGAGGCUCUAAAGCGUGGGGAGCAAACAGGAUUUGAUACGCCUGGUGGUGCAGGGGCGAUUUCCUGAGUGUGUAUCUUGCUUAUCGGUGCGCUGUCCGCGUGUGAAUAAAACAUGUACCCAUGUUUUGUUCCCUUUUGUGGGUGUAAUAUCGGGGUGCUGUGUCAGUUGUUUAUUGAUAUGAGCGGUUGGGCUGUGUGCUGGUGUGGUGUGUGGUAUGGUCGGCCUGUGUAUUGUUGUGUUGUGUUGUAGGCUGUGAGUGUGUUUGUGCGUGUGGGU